GAUGAACGCUGGCGGCGUGCCUAAUACAUGCAAGUCGAGCGAACAGACGAGGCGUUUGCUCCUUUGACGUUAGCGGCGGACGUGUGAGUAACACGUGGAUACCCUCCCUAUAAUAGUGGGAUCACUUCGGGAAACCGGAGCUAAUACCGUAUAAUAUAUUGCACCGCAUGGGUCAAUAGUGAAAGACGGUGUUGCUGGCACUUAUAGCUGGAUAUGCGCGGGAUGAGGUAGUAGGUAGGGUAACGGCUUUUCAAGGCAACGAUGCGUAGGCGACCUGCGAGGGUGAUCGGCCACACUGGAAGUGGGACACGGACCAUACUACUACGAGAGGCAGCAGAAGGGAAUCUGACGCAAUAGGCGAAAGCCUGGCGCAGCGACGCCGAGUGAGUGAUGACAGUCUUCGGAUCGUAAAACUCUGUUAUGGGGGAAAAACAAAUGUGUAAUGAAACAUACACGUCUUGACGGUACCUAGUCAGAAAGCAACGGCUAACUACGUG
rnacentral:rRNA from 1 species